GCCUUCGUGGUGUACGUGGAAGCACAUCCGGCUAGCAAUUGGCAGAACCGAAGUUCGAAUCUUUGCAAGGGUA
rnacentral:tRNA from 1 species